GAUGAACGCUUUCCUCGUGCCUAAUACAUGCAAGUCGAGCGAACGGACGAGAAGCUUGCUUCUCUGAUGUUAGCGGCGGACGGGUGAGUAACACGUGGAUAACCUACCUAUAAGACUGGGAUAACUUCGGGAAACCGUAGCUAAUACCGGAUAAUAUUUUGAACCGCAUGGUUCAAAAGUGAAAGACGGUCUUGCUGUCACUUAUAGAUGGAUCCGCGCUGCAUUAGCUAGUUGGUAAGGUAACGGCUUACCAAGGCAACGAUGCAUAGCCGACCUGAGAGGGUGAUCGGCCACACUGGAACUGAGACACGGUCCAGACUCCUACGGGAGGCAGCAGUAGGGAAUCUUCCGCAAUGGGCGAAAGCCUGACGGAGCAACGCCGCGUGAGUGAUGAAGGUCUUCGGAUCGUAAAACUCUGUUAUUAGGGAAGAACAUAUGUGUAAGUAACUGUGCACAUCUUGACGGUACCUAAUCAGAAAGCCACGGCUAACUACGUG
rnacentral:rRNA from 1 species